rnacentral:tRNA from 1 species
GUGGGCGUGGCGGAAUGGCAGACGCGCUGUCUUCAGGCGGCAGUUUCUUUUGAAGUGUGAGUUCGACUCUCAUCGCCCGCA